UCGAACGGUAACAGGAAGCAGCUUGCUGCUUUGCUGACGAGUGGCGGACGGGUGAGUAAUGUCUGGGAAACUGCCUGAUGGAGGGGGAUAACUACUGGAAACGGUGGCUAAUACCGCAUAACGUCGCAAGACCAAAGAGGGGGACCUUCGGGCCUCUUGCCAUCAGAUGUGCCCAGAUGGGAUUAGCUUGUUGGUGAGGUAACGGCUCACCAAGGCGACGAUCCCUAGCUGGUCUGAGAGGAUGACCAGCCACACUGGAACUGAGACACGGUCCAGACUCCUACGGGAGGCAGCAGUGGGGAAUAUUGCACAAUGGGCGCAAGCCUGAUGCAGCCAUGCCGCGUGUAUGAAGAAGGCCUUCGGGUUGUAAAGUACUUUCAGCGGGGAGGAAGGUGUUGUGGUUAAUAACCGCAGCAAUUGACGUUACCCGCAGAAGAAGCACCGGCUAACUCCGUGCCAGCAGCCGCGGUAAUACGGAGGGUGCAAGCGUUAAUCGGAAUUACUGGGCGUAAAGCGCACGCAGGCGGUCUGUCAAGUCGGAUGUGAAAUCCCCGGGCUCAACCUGGGAACUGCAUUCGAAACUGGCAGGCUUGAGUCUUGUAGAGGGGGGUAGAAUUCCAGGUGUAGCGGUGAAAUGCGUAGAGAUCUGGAGGAAUACCGGUGGCGAAGGCGGCCCCCUGGACAAAGACUGACGCUCAGGUGCGAAAGCGUGGGGAGCAAACAGGAUUAGAUACCCUGGUAGUCCACGCCGUAAACGAUGUCUACUUGGAGGUUGUGCCCUUGAGGCGUGGCUUCCGGAGCUAACGCGUUAAGUAGACCGCCUGGGGAGUACGGCCGCAAGGUUAAAACUCAAAUGAAUUGACGGGGGCCCGCACAAGCGGUGGAGCAUGUGGUUUAAUUCGAUGCAACGCGAAGAACCUUACCUGGUCUUGACAUCCACAGAAGAAUCCAGAGAUGGAUUUGUGCCUUCGGGAACUGUGAGACAGGUGCUGCAUGGCUGUCGUCAGCUCGUGUUGUGAAAUGUUGGGUUAAGUCCCGCAACGAGCGCAACCCUUAUCCUUUGUUGCCAGCGGUUAGGCCGGGAACUCAAAGGAGACUGCCAGUGAUAAACUGGAGGAAGGUGGGGAUGACGUCAAGUCAUCAUGGCCCUUACGACCAGGGCUACACACGUGCUACAAUGGCGCAUACAAAGAGAAGCGACCUCGCGAGAGCAAGCGGACCUCAUAAAGUGCGUCGUAGUCCGGAUUGGAGUCUGCAACUCGACUCCAUGAAGUCGGAAUCGCUAGUAAUCGUGGAUCAGAAUGCCACGGUGAAUACGUUCCCGGGCCUUGUACACACCGCCCGUCACACCAUGGGAGUGGGUUGCAAAAGAAGUAGGUAGCUUAACCUUCGGGAGGGCGCUUACCACUUUGUGAUUCAUGACUGGGGUGAAGUCGUAACAAGGUAACCGUAGGGGAACCUGCGGUUGGA
rnacentral:rRNA from 1 species